AUACAUAUACCCGUACAUAUAUACAUGAAUACUUAUAGGCUUAGAUACAUGUAUAUAUUUACGGGUAUAUGUAUG
rnacentral:pre_miRNA from 13 species